GUGGGGAAUAUUGCACAAUGGGCGCAAGCCUGAUGCAGCAACGCCGCGUGAGGGACGACGGCCUUCGGGUUGUAAACCUCUUUUAGCAGGGAAGAAGCGAAAGUGACGGUACCUGCAGAAAAAGCACCGGCUAACUACGUGCCAGCAGCCGCGGUAAUACGUAGGGUGCAAGCGUUGUCCGGAAUUAUUGGGCGUAAAGAGCUCGUAGGCGGUUUGUCGCGUCUGCUGGGAAAACCCGAGGCUCAACCUCGGGCCUGCAGUGGGUGCGGGCAGACUAGAGUGCGGUAGGGGAGAUUGGAAUUCCUGGUGUAGCGGUGGAAUGCGCAGAUAUCAGGAGGAACACCGAUGGCGAAGGCAGAUCUCUGGGCCGUAACUGACGCUGAGGAGCGAAAGCGUGGGGAGCGAACAGGAUUAGAAACCCCGGUAGUCC
rnacentral:rRNA from 1 species